rnacentral:sRNA from 1 species
AAAAUAGAGAUAUUUACUUUUUAUCUCUAUAAAUAGAGAUUUCUACAAUUCAUCUCUAUUUUUUCCUUUAGUUUUGAGAAAACUCUAUUUUAGAGGUGACCAUUAGAGUACAAUACCUUUAAAAUAAA